rnacentral:tRNA from 1 species
GCCUUCGUGGUGUAGUGGUCGGCGCGCUCGGCAUAUGAUCGAGAGGUCCGUGGUUCGAGUCCCGGCGAGGGCA